rnacentral:rRNA from 1 species
GUCGCUCCUACCGAUUUCGAGUGGUCCGGUGAAAACCUGGGAUAUUAGACACGUGCUUUUUAGGUAUGUGUUUAGUAGAACUCGUUUAAACCUUAUCAUUUAGAGGAAGUAA